CGGCGUGGAUGAGGCAUGCAAGUCGAACGGAACUUGAAGCAAUUUAGGUUUAGUGGCGGAAGGGUUAGUAAUGUAUGGGUAAUGUACCUCAUCCCUGGGAAUAACACUUGGAAACGAGUGCUAAUACCGAAUGUGGUCAAUUGGUAGCAUACCGAUUGAUUAAAGCGGGGGACCUUGAAAGAGGCCUUGCGGGAUGAGAGCAGCCCAUAUGGUAUCAGCUAGUUGGUGAGGUAAUGGCUCACCAAGGCUAAGACGCCUAGGCGGACUGAGAGGUUGAUCGCCAACACUGGGACUGA
rnacentral:rRNA from 1 species